rnacentral:rRNA from 1 species
GAUGAACGUUGGCGGCGUGCCUAAUACAUGCAAGUCGAACGGAGAAUUUGAUGUAGCAAUACAUUGAAUUUCUUAGUGGCGAACGGGUGAGUAACGCGUUGGUGACCUACCCCAAAGAGCGGGAUAACAGUUCGAAAGGAUUGCUAAUACUGCAUAAUAUCCAAGAGAUUAGACGCUUUUGGAUUAAAGGAGUAAUUCGCUUCGGGAGGGGCCCGCGUCCCAUCAGCUAGUUGGUAAGGUAAUGGCUUACCAAGGCGAUGACGGGUAGGGGACCUGAGAGGGUGGCCCCCCACAAUGGAACUGAAACACGGUCCAUACACCUACGGGUGGCAGCAGUAGGGAAUAUUAGUAAUGGGCGAAAGCCUGAACUAGCAACGCCGCGUGUGCGAAGAAGGCCUUCGGUUGUAAGACACUUUUUGUAGAGGAUGAGGAAGGACGGUACUCUCAGAAUAAGUCUCGGCUAACUACGUGCCAGCAGCCGCGGUAAAAUACACGUGUA